CCGCCGCCUCUCAGGUCGCGUAAGUGGACAUACUAUGCUGGCUGAUAGCGGCCCCCUCCCACUUUUAGUGUGCUUCACCGCGUAACUAAAAUGUACUGCGGCGAAGAAGCCGUACAUUUGUAUUGAGUGAAUAAACAAAUGGUUUUUACAACAGUACAGCAAUAAACACGCACCAUGCAUCAGUCUACCACACGGAAGAGCGUCGCAACAUACGGUAGCUGAUUCACACAGGCCGUGUAGCCCACUUAUCAGUCGUAAAGGGUAUUAUGGGUAAUUCGAAAUUUCAGACACACAUAUGUGUUUAUGUUUACGUUCGCACUCCUUGCGUAAUAAGACUCCCAGAACUUCCACAAUAGAAAGUAAUUUACAACACACAUACGCAAAGAACCCACGAAACACAGAACCUCUUAAAAACUUCUUGAAACGGCUACAAACGGCUAUAGACGUCUUGGUCUAUGAUAAGACUGAAAAUAGAAUUUCUUCUAAAUAUAACCUCAGCACUUGGAAUAUGCUAGUAUAUAUUCUAUCUGCGGCAAAACCCACUACUGGUGUCUCUAGAGUCUGUUUUGGUAAACGCAUUCAGAAUGUCUAACUCAAGAACUUUUCUAGAUCUUUUUGUCUAAAAGUGCAUAAAAUGCCAAACGACGUGUUAAAAGUGCGGUUACCCUCGGCCGUCGGCGUUAGCGAAUAAAAGACGCCACAGACAAAUCGAACUCGUUGGAAGCAACAUAAGUUAAUUGGCUUUAAUAUUAUAUAAUUUCACACCAGAACUUCAACAAUCAAGGGCGUGUUAUUGUUUUCCAUACGGGGCGCGCACACGACGCCUGGAAACCAUUCUAUGCUCGCGCAGCAGCAGGAGCGAAGCGCCGGUGUUGCACAGCGGUGUCACAGAGCCACCGCGCUGCGAUUACUUCGGCGGCACAAUCCAAAUUUGUCGGACAUCUCAUUCUGUGCUGGAAACACUGGGAGGCAGGAAGUUUGAAAAAAAACGGCCACUGCCGCCCGCUAUGUCUCGAUCGUGGGUUCGUUAUCCAGUUGUGCGUCAUUCUAAGCCGUUCUGUACAUUUAUACUGGAUAUUAAAUGGAGUCAUUUAGCUGUACUGAUGCUGUUUGCCGUGUGUUUUGCAUCAGUGCUUCGUGGCAUCGGCUGUAUUGCGUGUUUUCGCCGACGGCUUACUUCCACAAUGGCGGGAUCUGCGUUCGCCGCCUUCGUGUCUCGGUGCGUCUUUGUACGUCGCACGUUCGGAUAACACUUUUUCCGGUAAGUAAAAUACAUUGCACUUCGUUUUUCGUCAACAAUGUGAAUAUAUUUAGGAGUUACCCGCGACAAUUCUUGAAAUAUAGGCUCUUCUGCCCUGCGAGUUUUUGUCAUUACUUUUAUACGAGGGUUCUGCUUGUGUUCAGCCUUUCAGCACUACCGCGCUCCACGACUUCUGCAACACCAGUCAGAACUUUCCCCUGUUUGUUAGCCUGUGGUUAACGUAGCACGAAGCAACCGAAAGGAGUGCAUUCGAAGAUGAUGCGCUGGCUGUAAUGCUGAACCAGACUGAACUCGCCCUAUUUUGUGUCCUUUUGUUCUUGCGUGUGCGCGCGUGUGUCAGUGACUAUGCAGUUUGUAGCGCUCCCACUUUAUAGCAAAACAAAAAUAUAACUGCAAUGUUUACUUCAUCUAUACAAUUCCAAAUUAAAUCGUCUGCUGAUGUACAAAUUUCACUUGUGUUUUGUCCUAAAUAAGCAGCAAAACCUUUAACCUAGAUGGUGCUUCAUCUGGGAGUGAAAUCACGACAGCUUGGCAUUUAUUAAUGAAUGACUGUGACUGGGUCACCCUAUAUGUAAUUGCAAAUCUGCCUUUUAACUGACUUGAUGCUAUCUUAUUUUGUUCCUUUCACUCAAUAGGCGGCUGGACAUCCUUCUUGUACCUUGGCGCUAGCUGGAUGACGGGACCUCAUCAUGAUCAGUGUAUUGCUUGCCUAUGUCUACAAGAACCGUCACGUGUGGCCUGUGACAGCAAGCUUUUGUGGGCAGCCAGUGCUCUCCUACGAAGGCUGGCCUACUCUGGCAGCGGCGGCAAUCAUCUUCGAGAUUUAUCCAUGAUCACCUUUGCUGCUAUUUGUCACUCUUGUUAAUUACACUUUCAGCAUCUUUUCUAAUUUAUUAGGUAAUAAAGUAUGAGUAUGUGACAUGGUGUGAAGUUGUUGUCUUGCUGCAUUUUCGCUUGCAAUCACCUUUUAUGCAUGAAAAGCUUAUCGUACAGUUUAUGAAAAAAAAAAAUAACAGCAUAUUAUGAUUUAUCUUUCAGUUCUGGUAACAUGCAACGUACAAGGAAUUCACUGAUGGAUGGCAUGCCGAAGAACUGGCCAUUAUUUCUGCAUGAUGCUGUGCAAGCAUGUGGAGUUACCUUACAAGAGGCACCCAGAAAGUAAGUUACAAUUUACUUUUAAAUGAAGCAUGGACAUCAGAAAAAAUAUAGUUAUAUUGCCAGUUAGAAAGGUUCGCAGAGUGUUUUUCCAGAUGUGUACUAUCCUUUAUUUCUUAACUCAUUGCAGCACAGUGGCUAUUGUGCCCCCUGUAGCUGAAACCAGGAUGUAACUUUUGCCUGAACUGCACCAUCACUGACAAAAUUUUUCUUUGCUAGAAACUAUUUCAAUUUGGUGGAAACCCAGCAGGGUGAAGUUUUGUCAAUAAUGACGUGUUUCACACAGAGAUGUUCUUGUUUAGGUCAAUGAGUGAACAUUGGAAUUAUAUCAGCAUACAAUACAGAUCUUGUUUUAGUUGCAAAAUAAUUCUGACAGGCGGCAUUCAAUUGAUUGGUCUAAUUAAAAAGCACAAAUUGACCAAUGAGGCUGUACUACACUAUUUCCAUGGUUCACAUCUGGAAAAACUACCUCUGCAUCACUAUAUCCGACAAUAUAAACUCUUUUUCUGAUGUCCAUGCCUCGUUUAAAAUAAAUUGUAGCUGUGGGCAAACGUCGUGUUACUGUAACAGCUGCCGCAAAAAUUUGAGGGAAUGUCUAAUAAAAGUCUUCAGUUGUUCUUGUCAA